rnacentral:lncRNA from 1 species
AUAAAAUUUCUGUUUGCGCAGUGAGUAAUGUUGAACACAACGAAGUAAAACAGUUCGAGUUGAAGAUUGAUUAUCUAUUCGUUAUAGUAAAGCAGACAUGAAAUUAUUUUUGUUUGUCAUCUUCAUUAUUAUCAGUGGGUCAUGGGGUUAUCCAUCUGUCGAAAGAUACUGCACAGAAGAGGAGAUUAAGGGCGUUUGUUACAAAAGUUGCGUAACUGACGUAGAACGUACUUGUCGACUUAAUGAUCUCUGUUCUUGCGAAGAUUGGAAACAAGCGUUGGAAAACCUGGACAAAAUAUUUCCAACUGAAAUGAUAAGAAAAUAGAAAAUAAAUUAACGAUGAAAACGUAUUACAAAAUUAAUCACGGUUGAAAUACAGAUUUCUAGAACUGGAUUUUUAAUUUACAUUCCAAACAUAACUAAAUUGUACUUGUAACAAGAGAAAAACAAAAACAACUGAUGGCGAUUUCGAAACAAUUGGAAUAUAAUUUUGAGUACAGAUAUCCUUCGUACAACACGGCACUUCUACAAUACUGUUUCGGUUUAACACAGUUUAAAAAUUAGGAAUAUCCGGCAUAUAACACGAAUUUCGGCUUUAAUAAACAUACUUCUUUUAGUAAUGUAUAAGAAUAGUAUACUUUUGUUAACUUUUGCAACUUAACCCUAUAUUUUGCAUUAGUCCAGUGUUUCGUAUAGCACGGAUUCGCAUAACACGGCACUUUAUCAGAAGGUAACUACCGUGAUACACGAGGAAUUCCUGGAUUUGAAAUUUCUAAAGAUAUUUUAAAAAGUUAGACUUUUAUUCGA